CCAUGGCCCUAUCGAAGCUGCAUCUGUCUCCCCUGUGGCAGAUGUGGUCAAAAAGGUGCCAAAAGUAACUUUUUUUCCUUGACGGUCGCUGUUCAGUCUGUCUCCUUGUAACUGUCCAGCAACAUUUUUUGGAAAAUACAUGG